GAUGAACGCUGGCGGCGUGCCUAAUACAUGCAAGUCGAGCGAACAGACGAGGAGCUUGCUCCUCUGACGUUAGCGGCUGACGGGUGAGUAACACGUGGAUAACCUACCUAUAAGACUGGGAUAACUUCGGGAAACCGGAGCUAAUACCGGAUAAUAUAUUGAACCGCAUGGUUCAAUAGUGAAAUACGUUUUUUCUGUCACUUAUAGAUUGAUCCGCGCCGCAUUAGCUAGUUGGUAAGGUAACGGCUUACCAAGGCAACGAUGCGUAGCCGACCUGAGAGGGUGAUCGGACACACUGGAACGGAGACACGGUCCAGACUCCUACGGGAGGCAGCAGUAGGGAAUCUGCCGCAAUGGGCGAAAGCGUGACGGAGCAACGCCGCGUGAGUGAUGAAGGUCUUCGGAUCGUAAAACUCUGUUAUUAGGGAAGAACAAAUGUGUAAGUAACUAUGCACGUAUUGACGGUACCUAAUCAGAAAGCCACGGCUAACUACGUG
rnacentral:rRNA from 1 species